CAACCCCGGUUCUCCACACCAUCCUUGCUUGAUCGUCGUUGCUCCAUACCCGGUACACUCACCCUCGUGCUCCGUUCACCGGCCCUCUCCACCUCGGACUUCCCCCACGGCGUCCUCAAAAUGACAGCCGACCUAAAACCAGGCUCUCCAGAGAAACCAUCGACGUGCUGGUCCAGAUGUUGCCUCGGCUAAAGCCACAUGGAUGGAGCCAUGAAAUCGAGGUGGCUGUCCGUCUCUGCUGGCUUGCAUGUGGUACCUCAUACAGGGCCUUUCCGAAACUAGAGCCUCGCCACUUCCACUCCGACACGGAGCCAAAAUCGAGCUCCCUAACCCGCAACAGCGACAACUUUCGGACCAACUCCCCUCUCCCCUCUCCCCACUGCGUAAUUAGGAUCUGACGUUAGCGCCGCACUCACUGCUGAAAUACGUGGAUCAAAUAAACAACAGUGGUGUUAAGAUUCCGGAUCGAUGUUGGAGAAAAGUGUUUUUUGUUUUUCUCAAAUUUGAUGGCUGUCUCCAAAUAAUUUAAAAAAAGGGCAUGAUUCUGACAUUGUAAGAUUUGCUGUCUCACCUCAAGUCAAAUAUGUCUUUCCAGCGUAUUACUACUUG